AUUGAACGCUGGCGGCAUGCUUUACACAUGCAAGUCGAACGGUAACAGGCCGCAAGGUGCUGACGAGUGGCGAACGGGUGAGUAAUGCAUCGGAACGUGCCCAGUCGUGGGGGAUAACUACUCGAAAGAGUAGCUAAUACCGCAUACGAUCUAUGGAUGAAAGCGGGGGACCGUAAGGCCUCGCGCGUUUGGAGCGGCCGAUGUCAGAUUAGGUAGUUGGUGGGGUAAAGGCUCACCAAGCCAACGAUCUGUAGCUGGUCUGAGAGGACGACCAGCCACACUGGGACUGAGACACGGCCCAGACUCCUACGGGAGGCAGCAGUGGGGAAUUUUGGACAAUGGGCGCAAGCCUGAUCCAGCAAUGCCGCGUGCAGGAAGAAGGCCUUCGGGUUGUAAACUGCUUUUGUACGGAACGAAACGGCUCUGGUUAAUACCCGGGGCUAAUGACGGCACCGUAAGAAUAAGCACCGGCUAACUACGUG
rnacentral:rRNA from 1 species